CGCCUGCACACCCGAGACCCGGGAGAACCAACAUCGCGUGCACACCACGCCCGGCUGUACGCUCCUCCGGGUCCCCGCGACCCCUCGCCCCUCCACGCGCCGCCCUGCACAGCUUUCUUGCUGGAGCUGGCAGUGGAGAGCACACAGACAAGGUCUAAUUAUGUAGAAUGACUGCCAACCAGCAGGUUAAUCACAAAAGAUAACACCCAUGAAAAAAAGGAGAUGUGCUUGUGGAGUGGAAGAGCAAGCAGAAUCAUCUGCACUAUUCAAUUUGUAAUCUUUCUUCCUUGGUUAUGUAAUUGAUUCUAAACUGUA